GGUGGUGUGAUAGUUACCUGAUUCUGUCAGCUUGAGUGAGACAUGCCCAACUCCAUUGGAUCAACACAGGGUGGCAGGACCCUCCCUACACCCUCCCUAGGGUGGAUUGUUGCCUGAAUGGUAUAAAUGGGAAGUGAAGAAGGAAGAGUUGCCUCUGUUUCCUCCAGGAGCUCCAGUCUUCACUUGUACCUUGGACAUCCUCUCCUGGCUUCCAGCACAGACCCUUCAGGCCAAGCAGACUCUGAUAAGGACUUGAGCAGGAGGCAACACUGAGGUCCAGGCCUUCAAUUGGAAGCUUGGGUCUCUGGUGUGAGACAGCGCUUUUGUACUCUCCCUCAUGUGAUUCUGUGGACAGCCAUUGAAAGCUUGCUCUUCCCUUAGCUGCUGUUCUUCACUGGGUGGUGACAGACCUGUGUCAGCAUGAGCCCAAGACAGAGAAUCUUCUAGAAGGCUUGCUGUGAAUACUGGGUUCUCAGCCUCCUGACUGCCACAUCAUCCUCCCUGUCUUGGAGUUGCUGACUAGACUGAAAUCUCUACCAACUGGUGAGAAAAGAAGAGAAAUCUUUGCCCCGUGACUG